UGCCCUCGGGUGGGGAAUAAACUCGCGAAAGUGAGGCUAAUACCCCAUAGGCACAAGAGGCUGGAAUGCAUCUGUGCCCAAAGCUCCGGCGCCCGAAGAUGACUCUGCGGCCUAUCAGGUAAUACUCAGGGUCAAGACCUGACUACCCAGCGACGGGUACGGGCCUUGAGAGAGGUCGCCCGGAGAUGGACUCUGACACACGACUCCAGGCCCUACGGGGCGCAACAGGCGCGAAAACUUCACAAUGCAAGAAACUGUGACGAGGGAACUCCAAGUGUCCAUGCAUUGCAUGGACUGUUUGCCACCCUAAAAAGCUGGUAGAGUAAGGGGUGGGAAAGACCGGUGCCAGCCGCCGCGGUAACACCGGCACCUCAAGUGGUACCCACUAUUAUUGGGCCUAAAGCGUUCGUACCCGGCUUGGUUAAUUCCUGGGUAAAUCGUACCGCUCAACGGUGCAGACUCCGGGGACACUGCCACGCUUGACACCGGGAGAGAUCAGAGGUACUUGCGGGGGAGCGGAGAAAUGUUGUAAUCCCGCAGGGACCACCAAUGGAGAACGCAUCUGAUCAAAACGGCUCUGACGGUGAGGGACGAAACCCUGGGGCGCAAACGGGAUUAGAUACCCCGGUAGUCCAGGGCGUAAACGCUGCAGACUUGGUGUUGGGGGCCCUGAGAGGGCGUCCAGUGCCGGCACGAAGGUAUUGAGUCAGCCGCCUGGGGAGUACGGUCGCAAGACUGAAACU
rnacentral:rRNA from 1 species